AACGAACGCUGGCGGCAUGCCUAACACAUGCAAGUCGAACGAUACCAUCGGGGAUAGUGGCGCACGCGUGCGUAACGCGUGGGAACGUGCCGUUAGGCUCGGAAUAACACAGAGAAAUUUGAGCUAAUACCGGAUAAUGUAUUCGGACACAAGAUUCAUCGUCUUUGGAUGGGCCGGCGUUGGUUUAGCUAGUUGGGGGGGGAAAGGCCUACCAAGGAGACGAUACGUAGCUGGUCUGAGAGGAUGAACAGCCACACUGGAACUUAGACACGGUCCAGACGCCGACGGGAGGAAGCAGUGGGGAAUAUUGGACAAUGGGCGCAAGCGUGAUCCAGCCAUACCGCGUGGGUUAAGAAGGCCUUCGGGUUGUAAAGCCCUUUUGUUGGGAAAGAAAAGCAGCAGGUUAAUACCCCGCUGUUCUGACGGUACCCAAAGAAUAAGCACCGGCUAACUUCGUG
rnacentral:rRNA from 1 species